ACAUACUGAAGUUUGAUGCCA
rnacentral:miRNA from 1 species